rnacentral:rRNA from 1 species
CAGUCGCCGCGGGAAUACGGAGGGUGCAAGCGUUAAUCGGAAUUACUGGGCGUAAAGCGUACGUAGGCGGCUUGUCAAGUCAGAUGUGAAAUCCCCGAGCUUAACCUAGGAACUGCAUUUGAAACUGGGAGGCUAGAGUAUUGGAGAGGGGGGUAGAAUUCCAGGUGUAGCGGUGAAAUGCGUAGAGAUCUGGAGGAAUACCGGUGGCGAAGGCAGCCACCUGGACAAAGACUGACGCUGAGGUGCGAAAGCGUGGGGAGCAAACAGGAUUAGAUACCCGUGUAGUCCCUGUCUCUUAUAC